rnacentral:rRNA from 1 species
ACGUAGGGGGCAAGCGUUGUCCGGAAUUACUGGGCGUAAAGGGUGCGUAGGCGGCAAUUCAAGUCUGAUGUGAAAUACCCGUGCUUAACAUGGGGGUUGCAUCGGAAACUGAAUAGCUAGAGUGCAGGAGAGGUAAGCGGAAUUCCUAGUGUAGCGGUGAAAUGCAUAGAUAUUAGGAGGAACACCAGUGGCGAAGGCGGCUUACUGGACUGUAACUGACGCUGAAGCACGAAAGCGUGGGGAGCAAACAG